rnacentral:rRNA from 1 species
UACGGAGGGAGCAAGCGUUACUCGGAAUUACUGGGCGUAAAGCGUGCGUAGGUGGUUCGUUAAGUCUGAUGUGAAAGCCCUGGGCUCAACCUGGGAAUGGCAUUGGAUACUGGCGAUCUAGAGUGCGGUAGAGGGCAGUGGAAUUCCCGGUGUAGCAGUGAAAUGCGUAGAGAUCGGGAGGAACAUCUGUGGCGAAGGCGACUGCCUGGACCAGCACUGACACUGAGGCACGAAAGCGUGGGGAGCAAACAGG